rnacentral:tRNA from 1 species
GGAACUGUGCCUGAACUAAAGGGUUACUUUGAUAGAGUAAACUACAGAGGUAUUAACUCAACCCUCUCACUUCCU